UCCUUUGGUGGCGGGAGGUGAAAGGGCUUCGUCCCACCGCCAUCUUUGGCUGGAUUUGCUGAAGCCAAACGACUCUUACAGUCUGUUUUAAAGAAUCUGUUGGUGUGUUUGUGGCUGAGGCAGUAGUCUCAGCACAAGGCCUUGUGUACAUAUGCCUUUCCUCAUGGCUGUGGCUGUCCGUGUGGAAACUCAGAAAGCCCUGAUUGAAUCAUUGCUGUUGAGUUGAAAGGAUAGUCACGCACAUCUGCACUGACAUAUGGCAGCAGGAAUGGAAGAUUAAGAAUGGGGCAUGUGGGAAAAAAAUUUGAAAAAAAAUUCAGUAGAUCUGAGGUAUUGAAUUAGAUUAUUAAUGCAUAUUCUCUUAUUUUGUUCCUAUAACAACUCUGUGAAGUGGUUAUAAUCUUUAUUUUACAAAUAAGAAAACCGAGAGCCAGAAUAGUUAAUGUUUUACUUAGCAGACAACCAAAACUUAAGUAAUUCAGAUGUUGAUGGAAAUUAUUUAUUAUUUCUGUGCUCAAUAUUUCAUAUUAUAUCCUCCUGAGAAAAUAAAGAGAAAUCAAGCCCAGAAUAUAAAAGUAACUUAACCCGUAAUUUAGGAGGAGUUUUUUUUUUUUUUUUUUUUUUCCCAA